UCAAGAAAAGAAAAAAAUAAUAUCAUUGGCGGAGAUCAAAAAGAAAUUUUGGGAGUACUUGACCCUCAUCCUGAUCCCUGCAAAGACUUCUGCACUCUACGAGCUCUGGCAGCCCCAAGCUGCAGUUUCGAAAUUAUGUAGAUACACGUUCAAAUCCUCCUUGGGAGGUGAAAGGUUUCUGUUUUCCAGGGUACCCCAAGAUGAUGCUGUGCACUUAUCCACAGAAGCAUCCACUUGGAGAAAGAUGGUGGCCAGGUAGGGACACAGGCUGGAUGAUGUUUUUUCUGCUUUGAACACAAGUAGACCAACAUUACCCCUGCCAAGUGGCUUUAAUGUGGUAUCAUCAAUCUAUACCAAAACGAAUUAGCAUUGUGGCACUGCAAGACAUAGUUUCAACAGGAUCAUUUGUGAAAGUCUAAAUCAGGAGACAAAAAGGCAUUAGAGCUGUCAAGCCACCACCAGUCCAUUUCUUCCUCAAAAAGAGCCAGGGUUAUGGCUUGAGUAAUGGAUUAUUUUAUAUAUUACAGAAAGUCUUGGAAAAAUGAGUGACCAGGAACACCAAGAAUAUCAUCAUCUUGGAGGGCUUCCUUGAGAGAAGACCCAUAUGGGGAGGAAGCAGGGAGCAGAUGGACAGACGGACAUCCCUUCCUUAAUUAAUGGGGUGAAAAACAGAAGGAAAGGCUGGUGCAAUGCUCGGGAGGGAUUAUCCACCCGGCCGAGGCCAGAUGCAGUCGUGGGUACAAGGCUAAAGCUGGAGCUUUUAGCUCUGAAUGAAUCUUGGGUUGGGAUCCUUGCAACCACAAGUUCAAAGGUCACUCUUUUGUUUGGCGUGCGCUGUGUUAAUUUGUCAAGUUUUAUCUCUCCCUGCUACCCAAGCAGCUGCAGCGUGUGUAAAAUGCUCCUGGGUCCGCCAGCCUUCAGCUGGAAAAGCAACAAAAGCGGGGGCCUGCAGCCUUUUUCAUGUAAAUGCUUGUGAGCGGCAUAAUUGUCUCACGAACCCAACCGAAGGCACUUAAAUGGCUUUAAAGGGUCGCAGCUAGGUGCUUUUGACAGCCACUGUGACAGCUCCAGUCCUACCGAGCUUGUCCUGGCAUCCGUGUGCUCGUCACAAGGGUUUUACUAUCAAACUGAGCCUUUUUAAUUGCUUAACAUCAGCUAAUAGACACUUAAGAUGAAGUAAUUUCCUUUUUAUUUUCCUACCCGAGCUCUGCUGAUCAAUGUCAGAUGAGAUCACCUGCAUUUUAUUUGGGGGUCAAAGGAAAAAUUGGCAACGUCCACCCCAGGCUUUUUUUUUUUUUCCCCUUCCCCUUUGAACAGGGUGGGAUUUCUGCAGAACAAUUAACAUUCAUUUGCUAAGUGUUUUUGCAAGCAUGUUUACAAGAAAUGCAAAUACCCCAGGACUAUUCUGUUUUUGUUUUCUAGGGUUCACCUAAAAUGAGGCCCUGAUGCCGUGCAGACUUUAUGUAUGCCUUUAGCUCUCGGCUCAUGGCAAAACUAUGUGGAUGGCUGCGUGCAUGAAGCUGCACAUUUCUGCAAGCCUCGGCGCUGAGAUGCAGGGAUCUUCAGCUUUCUGAAAAAGCUCUUGCAUCACAGCUUAAAAAUAGAGGCUGUUUAGACGUCUUGGGGUGUCAUGGAAGGGAAUGGGAAUUUUGGUGUAGUGCUGCCGUCCCAGCGGAUAAAGUGAGUCUCUGAUGUCAGUCUCCCACUAAGAUAACCCAAGGGCACUGACGCCUCCAGGACUGUAUUGUUUCACAGCAAACCGUCUGCUCAUGGAGCAAACACGAUAGUGGGGUGUUGAUUUAUGAAGUGGUGGCUGAGUUCCCAACCAGAAGCAGCAGAGAUGUUUUGCAUUUGAAACACGAUGGUCUGCCUGGGCUCCACAGGGUUCAGCCUUUAUGUUUCAGGAUCGGCCCUUCCCGCAUGGAUCUGGAGUUCUCAAACCCGGUGAGAGUCACCAGGAGAUGUGGGGACAUCAGAUGAGUUCCUCUCACCUCUCUCCAAAUGCCUGUUUUUUGUUUAGCUUGUAGGCACAGAGCGCCAGCGAGACAGCUCUCCUCCCUCUGUUGGCUUUGCGUGAAGUUGGUCAACACAUCCAGGAGGGCUUAUGGGAGGAGAGGCAAAUGAACAUAAGCUUUCCCUCAGAAAUUAAGCUAAAAAUGCAUUUAGUACUUUCAAAACCAAUUAAUGGGCUUCAAAGAGUAAAACCGGUGGAUGCCUUGGGUUGUGGAAAAUAUUGGGAUAUGAUGGUGAGAAGGGAUAAAUUUAGCAGGAUGUGACAAGCCAACCUGAAGACCCCAUCCCACAUCACAAAAAUAGCCCCAUGAGGGCAUUCACUUGGAAAGUCUUUGCUUAAUUGCAGCCUGUGGGUGCAGUUCUCAUGCCUUUUGAAGAUGUCUUGAGACUAGCCAGUGGAAAACUGCUCUAAAACUUGUUUUUUUAAGAUAUCGGGCCAAGCCAAACGAAAUAUGCCAGGGAGUCAUGGAAAUGAUUGGAGCCUAUCAAGAUACAGGGACAAGGAAACUCAUGUCUUUUUCUCUCAAGUGGGGAGAAUUAACUGCAUGUGAACAGGGAUGUUGAGAGUCCUGGAAAUAGUCACGGGGAUGGCAGCACCAAACACAGGCACAGUUUAAGCCUUGCCCUUUUUCACUUCAUUCCUUGGAGCAAAGAAACUUCUGCUUGCAAGAUGAUGCCCCCGCAAUCACCCAAAUCCCCAUCCAGGGCUGAAGAUGCUGCAUCCACCACAGGCACGGCAGCAGGUCGGGCUCCAGCAGAGGUGCAUUAAUAAAAUCACCCUUGUUCAAGGUUACGGUGCAAGUUGAUUGCUUCUGAUUAGGGAUUUGUAUUCAGUUGUGACAUCCUGCAAUUUUUAUUGCCUUUACGGUAAUAAUUGUGAAUAAUAAAAUGACAAAUUAUUGUAAUUAAAUUUUAAUUAAUUACAAAUCCAUUACUUUUAAGUUUAUUCAUGGUAGAGACAAUGAUACUGAAAACAAUUCAUUAAAGCACUUGAUAUGUAAAUUGUGAAGUAAAGCAUUAAUAUCAGGCAGCUCGUGUAUUCACUUUCUGCUAUGCAGCAGAGAAUUUGCACAAGGAAAGGCACUUCUCCUGGAUCAUUUUAGCAGUUUGCUUGAAGGAGAAGAAAAACACCAAGUACUCUCGAGCUGAAAUUAUUCCCAAAGUCAGGUUCUGCAUCCUCUAAAACAAAACACUGAGCAAGCAAAAAGGGAGAGUGCUGCCUGCUGCUGUGCAGGGCUGAUAAUUUUAACAGCCUUGUGGGGACGUGGCAGUCUUGCCGUGGGAUGAGACUUUAUGAAAACAUUGCUGCUGGCCAGGUUUCCUGGUCACAGCAUUGGCAGGGCAGCUGUUUGGGCUUCUUCUCUGAGAAGUGCUCAAAAAAUGACCUGGAUUCAACAGGAGCAAAUGGCGCAAGGAUCACCAAGCAAGGUUUUUGGAGGGAUGUGUCUCUGCCCAGCAUCCUUCCCCUGCAAUACUCUUCUGCAGGGGCAAGUCUCCUCGCCACACCUAUUUUUUUCCAGCUUUGGCCAUCUAAUGAAGGAAGAAGCUCUUCUGUCAAGGGGGAAGACAGGAAUAAAGGGGAGACGUGAUCAGACAGCAAGGCACCUCCCGCUCGGACAAGGAGAGCCUAAAGCAGGGAGGCACACCCAAGGUUAAUAACACGCUGCUCCACCAGCUUCUAUCUAAUCUUGGAAAAUGUCCUGUGCUGCAAAGAAAAAUGGGAAAGUGAUUAUGUGACAUGAAAUAAGGUCUUGCUGUACUGUCUAGACAGCUUUAAAAAACAUCAAGCUAGGGUGUUCCUAUUUAUGAAAAAUGCAGCUGUACUUCUGCCUUCCUUGAGCGAGAGAAGAAAGCAGUGCACUUGAGGUCAUUUGGCUGUGACAAGCUCUCUGUGCCUGUCCGUGGGGAUUUAUUCCUCUCUCUUUAUUCUCUCUUUCUUUCUUCGUUUUGCCCCCAGUGCUGCACAGCUUGUGCUUCCAACCCUGUGCCCUGGUGGAGCUGGGUGCUGAGCCAGGCUAUUGCACCCGCAGGAAGGCUGCUGGGUGCCAACCUGCAUGCUUUUUCUGCAGCACUGCCCUCAGGAUCACUUCCCUGAGCAAAACUGCAAGCAGCCUUCAGACCCUUAAUCGAGUCUCUUAUAGCCUCUCUUAAAUUAGAAGCAUUUCAUCUGCCCUGGAUGCAACCUCAGCAAUUCCCUCCCCAUGAUUUUUAGCCAUGGUAAAUUAUUAAUAGGGAUUGCAUAUUUUUAUCUGACAGUGUCUAUGUGGGUGGAAUCUGAACCCCAAAUGACCACAUGUCACCCCAUGCCAAUCGGAGCUGGCACCAGCUUGCUGCCAAUGCUUAGCGCUGGGUGCCCCGAGAAACCUAUUGAUCAUGGCUCUGUGUCCUACAAAAGGGAGAAAUGGGUCAGCAGAUAUGUUGUUAAUCCCAGCUUGAUCUAACGUCUUCGGGACAGGUGGCAACCUUCAUUUAAUGGAACAAUGAGAUCAUUAGGAAUUCAUAAUGAACCGUGCUGUGGCCAUGAAAGUAGGUCACACUUACCCCAGGAAGACUUCAAAAUGAGCCUGUCCCCAUUCAUGUGCUGCAGCAGAGAUGGCUGGGGGCAGACUGACAGCUCUGCCUUGGGAUUUGCUAACCAGACAAUUUUAGGAACAAAAAGGGGCAAACGCUGUGGACAUGGAAUGAGUUCUAUUAUGCCAAACGGUAUCAUGACUUUCAGCUGUGGGCUGAUUCAGUUUCAGGUGUCAUGUCUUGCUGGCCAUGGGCUGUAGCCACCCUGGGUGGGCCAGGAGGAUGGGAAGUUUUGGGAAGAAGCAAGCAUUUGCCAAGCCAAGUCCCUGGUCAGUGUCUGUAACCACCCUGGAGAGAUCCUCCCUUCACUCAUCCCCGAGGGAUGCUUUGUCCACCCCCAGGGAAGAGGAGCUCCCAGCCCCUGGCCGUGAACAAGGCCAGAAGACUGCCCGCUGCAAUGCCAGCCCCUGACCCCAGCCCCAAAGACUUUAACAAAACGUCACGGCAUAACGCAAACAUCGCACCAUGCCCGGC